CCUACGGGUGGCUGCAGUGGGGAAUAUUGCACAAUGGGCGCAAGCCUGAUGCAGCCAUGCCGCGUGUGUGAAGAAGGCCUUCGGGUUGUAAAGCACUUUCAGCGGGGAGGAAGGCGGUUAGGUUAAUAACCUCAUCGAUUGACGUUACCCGCAGAAUAAGCACCGGCUAACUCCGUGCCAGCAGCCGCGGUAAUACGGAGGGUGCAAGCGUUAAUCGGAAUUACUGGGCGUAAAGCGCACGCAGGCGGUCUGUCAAGUCGGAUGUGAAAUCCCCGGGCUCAACCUGGGAACUGCAUUCGAAACUGGCAGGCUAGAGUCUUGUAGAGGGGGGUAGAAUUCCAGGUGUAGCGGUGAAAUGCGUAGAGAUCGGGAGGAAUACCGGUGGCGAAGGCGGCCCCCUGGACAAAGACUGACGCUCAGGUGCGAAAGCGUGGGGAGCAAACAGGAUUAGAUACCCGAGUAGUC
rnacentral:rRNA from 1 species